GUCUAAGUAGAGAGUGUGUGUAAGUAGAAAGUGUGUAUAAGUGUGAAUGUAAGGAGAAAAGUAGAUGUAAGUGUGUGUAUGUGUAGGAUAUGUAAGAUGCAUGUGGAGGAUAUGUGUAUGUAGAUACGUACAACGUGGUGAAUCUAUUCGACGAGUAAAUCAAUCAUUUUCAUUUUCUUCCCAUUCUGUUACAAUGCGUAUGUGUGCAUGCGUGCAUGCGUGAAAUCAUCAUCAUUCAUUCAUUCAUCCCCGACCAGCUUUGGUAAGCAAUACGCAUAUUUUGACCAUGAAUCGCAUCGUUGCUUACGUUAGCUCUCACCUUUUGUUACAUGCACAUGAUAUGCAACUCCAACCCAUCCUUACAUAAUCUAUGCCCAACUGAUCGAUUGCGCAGUGCAGUACGAAGAAAAAUUGCGAUUGUCAUCACACAAAGCCACACACACACUCUCUCAUAAUAAUACGAAAAAUAAAAAAAAAUAAAAAAUUAAAUAAAUUGAUUGAGACCCCUACUGAUUCAAUAUCUCGUGUUUUGUCUAGUUCUCGCGCUGUGUCUUGCCACCAAGGUUCCUCCAUUUUCGUCUUUUAUCUUUGUCUCUUGUCGCAUCGCAUAUUUUUACUACAUUUGGUGCAUCUGUCGAUGUGCGUCUGUUGGUGUCGCAGUCAUAGUCGCAGUCGCAUUGCAUUGCAUUGCAUCUUGGAGGAAAAGGAAAUUGCGGCAUGCUGAAGCACACACACACGCAUCUCCUUCGCUUGCUUUGAACCGCAUCGUCAUUAGUGAAGCAUCAUCAUCAUCACCGUCCGUCGAGGUACACUGAAUACGUUGCAAUACUCUAUCUACCGUUAUCGAAAUAUUGCGCGGGUCAGCGUAGGUCAGGGUUUGCGAAUGUCGCUUCUCAUCAGGUAGAAGGGAUUCGACAGCAGUAGAUACAAUCGAUAACAGUAGAUACCAUUCAACAUGAUUUGAUACCAUUCAGUAUAAUUAGAUACCGGCAAAUACCAUUAGAUACCAUCAAACACCAUUAGGUUCUACUGUACUGCCCUGCCCUGCCCUGCCCUGUCUGUCUCUCUUCCACUGCCUGUUACGGCUGAAUGGCUAUCGGCCCCACCUACCGCACGACUUACUCGAGCGCUCCCUUCCCUACUCUCUUACCAACGAGCUUAAUUCCUUUGUCUCGAUGCCCGAGAUUGCGAGGCCGUCCAUACAAAACCGUCGCUAUUCCUCCGUCCGUCCCACUGUUCCACCUCACCUUUUCCUUUCCAGACCAGACCGGAGGGGAAGCGCGUGUAAAGGAUGCGAUAGGAGAGCACAAGCAUAGCAUACAACACAAAAGACACACAGGGACACCGACAGAGAAAGGACAGACAGAUGUUGUGAUAUGCAAAGGGAAGACAGAGACAAGGCAAGGCAAGGCAAGGCAAAGCAAAGCAAAGCAAUCGGCAAAAUGUGAGUCAGCAAUAUGAGUCGGCAAAACAAAUGAUCAAGACAACAAGACAAGAACAAUGAGGAUUUCAACAUUACAACGACGAUUCAACAUAACGACGACGAUGAUUCAACAAAACAACAAUACAAUCAUUUAGAGAAAUACAUUUUUAUAAUUCGUCUUUAAAAUCCUUCUUCAUAACGCCUCUUAUCACCGUUUCUCUCUUUCUCUCUCUCUCUACGUCGCACUCAUCGUCUUCUACGUCGCCCUUCUUCGCCCUCUUCUCCCCUCCCUCUUCUCCCUUUCACCUUCCUUUCUGCCUUGCACCAGUUGAAUCGUCCCCUCAACACACUCCAACGCACUCCUCCUUCAACAUACAUCCUAGCAAAGUAAAACGCAAAACUUGUCCUCUUUGUUCUCUCGCUCUUCUAUUCGUACACGACUCCUCGUCUUCUAACCUCCCAUGAGUUCAUCCAUGCCAUUCUGGUCACUUUUACGCGUUGUCCAUUCUUGCCUUCCUCUUCUUGCCCUUCACUCUACACCCUUCCCAUUUUGUCUCGGCUUUCCCUCGUUGCUGUUGGUUUGGUUCGCCUGGCUGCGUAUCUCUAUUUCCUAUGUGUCAUGAAUGCGUCACUAUGUGCACUCUUUUCUCAUGCAUUUAGGAUUGUUUUGCAGCUUAGGUCAUCUCGUCUUUCUAAACUCUCGGCCCGUACGGCAGUUUAUCAUGACGACUCCCUCCGUAACGAAUGGCGUCACAAUGACUUAGCGGUGAAUCGUGAAAAUAUUAAAAUGCUUUAUCUCCCCCGUGUAUAAAAGCAUUCUGUGUAGAAAUUUCUAUACUUAAAAUCAGUUGUCUUUUUCUCUCUCCAAAGUAAAUUUCCUUUGUUGAUUUUUACUCUUUGCUGCUGUUGCUGUUGC